UACGUAGGUCCCGAGCGUUGUCCGGAUUUAUUGGGCGUAAAGCGAGCGCAGGUGGUUUAUUAAGUCUGGUGUAAAAGGCAGUGGCUCAACCAUUGUAUGCAUUGGAAACUGGUAGACUUGAGUGCAGAAGAGGAGAGUGGAACUCCAUGUGUAGCGGUGAAAUGCGUAGAUAUAUGGAAGAACACCAGUGGCGAAAGCGGCUCUCUGGUCUGAAACUGACGCUGAGGUUCGAAAGCGUGGGUAGCAAACAGG
rnacentral:rRNA from 1 species